rnacentral:rRNA from 1 species
UACGGGGGGGGUAAGCGUUGUUCGGAAUUACUGGGCGUAAAGGGCUCGUAGGCGGCCAACUAAGUCAGACGUGAAAUCCCUCAGCUUAACUGGGGAACUGCGUCUGAUACUGGAUGGCUUGGAUUUGGGAGAGGAAUGCGGAAUUCCACGUGUAGCGGUGAAAUGCGUAGAUAUGUGGAAGGACACCAGUGGUGAAGACGGUUUUCUGGGCUGAUACUGACGCUGAGGCGCGAAAGCAAGGGGAGCAAACAGG